rnacentral:hammerhead_ribozyme from 1 species
AUCCGGCAGACGAGUCCCAACGUGGACGAAACCCGUGUCCUGGAU